GAUGAACACUGGCGGCGUGCUUAACACAUGCAAGUCGAACGAAGCAUUUAGAACGGAUUACUUCGGUUUGAAGUUCUUUAUGACUGAGUGGCGGACGGGUGAGUAACGCGUGGGUAACCUGCCUUGUACUGGGGGAUAGCAGCUGGAAACGGCUGGUAAUACCGCAUAAGCGCACAAUGUUGCAUGACAUGGUGUGAAAAACUCCGGUGGUAUAAGAUGGACCCGCGUCUGAUUAGCUAGUUGGUGAGAUAACAGCCCACCAAGGCGACGAUCAGUAGCCGACCUGAGAGGGUGACCGGCCACAUUGUGACUGAGACACGGCCCAGACUCCUACGGGAGGCAGCAGUGGGGAAUAUUGCACAAUGGAGGAAACUCUGAUGCAGUGACGCCGCGUGAGUGAAGAAGUAAUUCGUUAUGUAAAGCUCUAUCAGCAGGGAAGAUAGUGACGGUACCUGACUAAGAAGCUCCGGCUAAAUACGUGCCAGCAGCCGCGGUAA
rnacentral:rRNA from 1 species